rnacentral:rRNA from 1 species
GCCAGCAGCCGCGGUAAUUCCAGCUCCAAGAGUAUCUAUGCGAAUUGCUGCAAUUAAAAAGUUCGUAGUUAAUUUUGUAAAUAAUCUUGUGAUAAGUAUUAAAUUUACAGUAAUGAAAGCCAUGGAAGAAAAUAGGAUUGUAAUAGGGAGGGGUGAAAUCUUUAGAUCUAUUUAGGACUAGCUGAAGCGAAAGCGAUUUUCUAUGUGGUAUUUGACGAUCAAGAACGAAAGUCGGAGUAUCGAAGACGAUUAGAUACCGUUGUAGUUCCGGCAGUAAACCAUGUUAUAUUAUUUGUAUUACUGACUCUGUGUUGUAGUGUGGAUAUAUAGAAAUUAAGAUAUUAUGAACUUUGGGGAUAGUACGAACGCAAGUUUUAAACUUAAAUGAAAUUGACGGAAGGACACACCAGGAGUGGGUAUGUUUAAUAUGUGUUGAAGACAACUUAUCAUUACUAUGUGUGAUUCAUUUAUGGAUAGACUCAUUUACUAUGAGUGGUGCAUGGCCGUUAACAAUGCGUGAUGUGAAUUUUGAUAUUUAUUAUGUUAAAUCCACCAAUGUGUGAGACCCACGUACUGAUUUAUAUAAAGGUUAGUAGACGGAUGGUGUAAGCCAUAGGAAGGAGUGGGCGAUAACAGGUCAGAGAUGCCCUUAAAUGAAAUGGGCAACACGCGCACUACAAUAGAAAGUUUAUAAUUUUCUAAGGAGUUGGGAUUACUAUUAUGUAAAUAUGGUAUGAACAAGGAAUUCCUAGUAAUAUGUAAAGUAACAACGACA